GGGGCCAUAGCUCUGUAGUAGAGCAUCUGCUUUGCAUGAAGAAGGUCCUAGGUUCAAUCACCAGCAUCUCCA